rnacentral:rRNA from 1 species
UCGAGAAUCUUCGGCAAUGCGCGAAAGCGUGACCGAGCGACGCCGCGUGUGGGAUGAAGGCCUUCGGGUUGUAAACCACUGUCAGUUGGGAGGAAGGCUCCGUGAAGAGCGGAGUUUGACCUAUCUUCAGAGGAAGUCCGGGCUAAGUUCGUGCCAGCAGCCGCGGUAAGACGAGCCGGACAAACGUUAUUCGGAAUCAUUGGGCUUAAAGGGUGCGUAGGCGGUGCGGUAAGUUGGGUGUGAAAUCCCUCGGCUCAACCGAGGAACUGCGCCCAAUACUGCCGUGCUUGAGGGAGACAGAGGUGAGCGGAACUGAUGGUGGAGCGGUGAAAUGCGUUGAUAUCAUCAGGAACACCAGUGGCGAAAGCGGCUCGCUGGGUCUCUUCUGACGCUGAGGCACGAAAGCUAGGGUAGCGAACAGGAUUAGAUACCCCGGUAGUCC